CUUUUGGGAUGGUGCACAGCUGUAAAAAAAAAAAAAAAAAGAAAAAAUACUCGCUUUUACUGAUGUCAGAUUUCAUCUCAUCGUGGCUGAUUUGAGUCCUUUGUGCAGCUCCAUCUUCAUUUAUGUUGCUUAUUAGUCAAUGUCUCGUGUGUGUGCUUUACAUACAUGUGGAGCGGAGGAUGGGGGGUGCUCGGAUUGCUCAUCUAAAUAGCGUCGCAGGUGAUGUGCACGCACUUGUUGAGCCUUCGGGCUUUUCUCCAAAUUGAGGAAGUAGUAGAAUCUUUUGGGGCUUUUUCUUUCUUUUUCAGAUGCUUUUGUGUUCCAUCAGUCCAUAAAGGUAUGCCUGGAUGAGUUUGGUGUGGAAGAACUGGACUCCGGGUGGCAUGACCAUAUGAUUAGGAAGUCGGGAAUAGCGAGUGAUUCCAAACACAACCUGCAUCAUUCCAAAGUGUCGUGCGGGCUCAGAGGUGGUCCCCGGCAUGGCAGCUCUCGUCGCCGUGGAUAAUAAGCACGGGGAAGAAGAAGGCAUCCUGCACGCCUCGGGUCUCCUCAUCGUCCUGCCUGGAUCCCAAGCCCAGGAAGCCGCCCGCGCCCCCGCCCCC